rnacentral:lncRNA from 1 species
CAUUAAGAUGCUGUAUGGGCCAGUGCUGGCUGGGCUAGUUAUUUUCCUGAAAUUGGCUAUCCUUCGACUUCUCCAUGCCCUCUGGCCUCAAGGUCUCCAGUGGCUUCUGUGGACUCUGUCCCUUGCCCGGCAGAGCCCAUCUCAAUCUCUGCCUCUGCCUUUACCCCAGAAUGCCCUAGCAGUGCUCUCACUGGCCUUCUAGAGCUUUCCCAAUGUAUUCCAUGGUAGCUCUUUCUAUGGCAGCGCGUGGGCAUCCCAGGGGCAGCCCUCAGUAGCACCAGAAAUUAUUGCUCCCCGUUCUUUCCUCUGAACCCAUAGCAGAUGCCGGCAGGAACCGUAGGCGGUGGCGUCCCCACAGCUCAGGAUCCAAGAGACUCAUUCCAGCCGCCAAAGCGCUAAGCUUUCCCUGUGAUCACACAUUUUUGCACCAGCCAGAGCUCGCACAUGCCUCUACAGACCCUCGGCCAGAGGCAUGUGGAUAUCAGUGACUGCUCGGAGAAGCUGGCCAAGGCCAGCCCGGCGAGGGAGGGCCCGGAUUACGUGCACGAAGAGAUCUAUUCGAAACAACUGACAAGAAACUGUAUGUCGGAAAUCAGAACAGCUGUGGGCUCCUCACCGCGGCAGAUGGUGUGGUCUUCCUCUCCACGGAGAAACUCCGGGAAAAUACAGCUGGGGGGAUGGGGGAUGGGGGAAGCCUGGAAGGGAGCCUGCCUGUGCAGUGGACUAAGAGAGCUCACCACUCCGGCCACACGGACCCUGAAGAGGAGUUCCCAACAGGAUACGGACAAGCAGGUGCCAUAUUCUUAUUCCAAGCUUCACGCGAGACCCGGGCAAGUUUGCCGUGCGUGUGGGAGGCGGUCAUGAGGGUGAAAACUAUAACCACAACAUCUUAAGAAUAGAUUUACGGUUAAAAGAGGGCAUUUAAUUUCCUUUUUAAAAAUACUAUAGGUUGUAUUUUCCACACUGGGUCUGAAGAACACUCCUAUCUUCAGCUUUUUUUUUUUUUAAGGGGUUCUAGGUUUUAUCUUCAUCUUUGAUCUGUCCAUUAAACCAAAUCAAGCUACCUUUCUUUUCAGAACUGCUCAGGGCCUUGGCUACUGACCUAGCAGGCUGUGAAUUUUGAGGAAUUCAGAGAUUCUCAAACUUGCUUGUGUAGGACCCAUUGAACUUGGUGAAACUCUCAUGAUCAAAAGGAUCUAGAUUGUGGGGGCACCUGGGG